UAAGGUUGUGGGUAGAACUACAGUAUUAAUCUGCUUACCUUGGAAGAGGGAACUGCUUCUGGAUUCUUCAGGUAGGCCCUGUGUCUUCAGAAAUGUUCUUAAAAGUGGAAAAGAGAAUCAGAAGAGUCAGAAGGAAGUGUGAAAUACUGACGAACAGUCAGAGAGAAAGGCACUAUUGCUGGCUUUCAAGACAGAAAAAGGGGCCAGAGAUCAAGACAGAGAAACUGAAUAUCUGCUACUGUCUUCUGAGGGAUUACAGCUGGGUCCACACACUGACUUCUGUGCAGUGAAAUCCAGGUCAAACCUACAGAACGAUGAGAUAACAGGCCAAAAAUACAGGCACUCAUCUGGCUCGUCUUGAUGCUCAGUGUCCACAUGAUUUAUAAGUGACUGGAGAAAGCCCUCACUCCUACCCUCAGCCACAUUGGCCACAAGCGUGCAGCGCACCCUCGGAUGGGCCACACGGGACACUCUUGGGAUGUGUGUGAGGAGGCCUGAGCUCUGUGGGAGCAGUGGCUCCAGAGCCAGUGAGGACAGGUCCUGGAUGAGUGGCCUCCAUGUGGAAUGGAAAGGUGACCUUCCUAGCUGGCGUCCCUGGGAAAGUGCCCUCCCCUGUAUAAAAAUCACAUUUCUGUGUAGAAUUCUUCUGGUUCUGAUAGUCACUAUCCUCAGGUCUUAGAUUGCUACUGAAAUCAUUUUGCUGCCGCCAGUGAGAGUCACUCACUUAUUCAUGAUGGUUCUUGGCAAAUUUAGGCUAGAAGGUUUCUUUAAGUAAAAAAGAGCUUGCUCUGAGUACUUCAUUUUAGUCUAGAUGGGUUGUAAAACUCUUUUCAAGGGGCCUGCAUUGUGAUGUAGCAGGUUAAGCUGCCACGUGUGACACAGGCAUUGCAGUGGGAGCUGAGGAGAAGCCCUUGGCUUCCAGCUUCAGCCUGGUCCAUGCCUGGCUGUUGUGGCCAUUUGGGGAAUGAAUCAGUGGAUGAAAGAUGAAUCUCUUGCUCUCUGCCUGCCCUCCCCACCCCACAUACUGACCCCCCCCCCAUAACUCUGGCUUUCAAAUAAAUAAAAUGUUAGGAAAAAAACCUCUUAUUUCUGCCCAAGUAGUUUAUUUAAAACAGGAACCUCCUUCAAUAAGCAUUCCUGAAGUAUGGAAAUCUUUUUCCCUAUAGAAAUAGCCUAUUGGUAUGCAAAGAUCAUCCUCUUGUUCCUAAUUUAUAAAGUCUCAGAUGGAAGAGAGUGCUGAAGUUAAGUAUCAGCAUAGCAUCUUAUGAUUUCGUUUCACUCACAAGUUUGAAAAGGUGGAAUGAGGUACAACUCUGACACUGGAAUGCUCUAUGGGCAGUAGAUGACUUUACUGCACUGGGACUUACUGCACAUCAACAAGUGAGUUAGAUUAAACACAAAAAUCUUGGACUCUGUCCCCAUUUCUUGUCAUUGCUGCCAUCCCCAAAGAUGAGAUCUGUGCACAACUUGGGAACUAGUUCCAGUGUGUGUCAAGUCCAGGCUCUGUCCAGAGCUUCGCCUGCACAGGGACCUCCUCUGGGUACUGACUUUUCUAUUCAACUGAGAGCUUGGUGGAAGGGCCCCAGGGGGAAUGAGGAGAGGCAUCUGCUGCAAACUGACUCCAGAUAUGGGUGCAUAGGGAAAAGCUGCUUGAGUGUUCUGGAAGAGUCUGUAUGAUGUGAUUAUAACUCCUUCAGAAUAAAAAAGGAACACAGAUGAUGGGAUGGCCUGGUUUGUUGUUGAUACUAUAUUAUUGAUAUUAUUGUGGGUAAAUUAUGAAGAGCCAAUGCAUCUCCCUCAUUGGAAGCUGCCUUUAGCUUUAGUUAACACACUGUAUUGCUGAGGAGAAAAACUCAUUGCUGGUGUAUAUUUGAUCCAUGUGUCAUGUGUCUGUCAGCAAAUGGUAAAUGAGCCAAUUUUUUUUUUUGGUAAUAAUGAAAUGCUUAAAUCUGCUUGAGAGACAAUUUAUUUUAAUAAUUGCAUUGUUGGCUGCCUCUUCUGUGUGUCUAUAAGGGCAAGGAGUUGGAAAGAUACUCUGUGUACAGGAAAAGGAAAAGCUACAUGAUUUUCUUUUUAAAGCAGGAAGUAAAAUUUUUCCUCUUGAAAAUUAUAGUAAACCAGUAGUUUUAUAACUACCCAUUGGGAAGGAUCAAUUUUUAAAAUUUGUAAUCCUUUGCUGAUUAGCACUUUGGUAAAUAUUAAAAAAAAAAGUGUUGUGCUGAGAUCAGACUGCUAGGAAUGUUUCCACACUCUCACACUUCUGUACUUCAUCUUGCAGAUGCAUAGAAAAGAUCUCAAAAGGUGACCUAAGUGUAUCCACCAUACUUUAGUAAUACUGAAAUAUGAGUUUGGGGCAAAAAUCAACAGGUUCUGAUGUGGUUUAUCUGGCUGAUUAGGAUUUGUCUGCAGUGGGAGGUCAGGGGGUUAGGUUAGGUAUUUGUGGCUUUUGUUAUUGUUAUUUGCUAUUAUUAGUCCAAGCAAAGUCACUAUGUGGAGUGCUGCAGUGUGUAACUUGCUCAGAGACAGCUGACUAAGGAGGCAAAUGGGGUCUGAGAUCUCCUCUCCAAGCCACAGACCCCUUGAUGGAGGGAACAGCUGUCACCUGCCCAGAAGUGACUGAAUCUGAGAUUCAGUCUACUGACCAAGCCCUGUGCCAGUGGGGUCAUCUUUUACUAAUUUGCAUAAUUGCCUGUUCGGUAGGAACUCCCAGGAUCUGCCUUCACAUUGUUCUACUACCAGGGUGCAAAUCUGCAGUAAGACUUUAGAAAAGACAUUCAUAGGUUUGUUUGUUUUUUUUUUUCAAGAUUUAUUUAUUUAUUUGAAAGUCAGAUUUACAGAGUGAGAGGGAAAGACAGAGAUUUAUAUCUGGAGCACUGGCCAGGGCUGGGCCAGCCAGAAGCCAGCAGCUUCAUUGAGGUCUCCCAUGUAGGCGGUAAGGGCUCAAACACUGGAGCCAUCUUCUACUGCUUUCCCAAGCACAUUAGCAGUAAGCUGGAUUGGAAGUAGAGCAGCCAAGACACUAACCGGCACCCAUAUGGGAUGUCACUGUUGUAGGCAGAAGUUUUACCUGCUCUGCCACAAUACCGGCCUGACAUUUGUAGGUUUUUUACAGUCCCUCAGAAGUCGUCAGGAACCUCAAUUGGAUUUCAUUAACUUUUUGCUUAAGAAAACACGUCAUCACAUUUUCUUUCUUUACUGAACUCGAAGAGAUGUGGGUCUUCUAUAACUGUGACUAGAACCGUUUACCUAUAAAUGGAAAAGACAUUUCAAAUUGCAAGUUGAUGAGAGCCAAACUCAACUGUUUCCUUUUUUAAGAUUUUAUUUAUUUAUUUAUUUAUUUGAGAGAGAGAGAGAGAGAGAGAAUCUUCCAUCCACUGGUUCACUCUUCAAAUGGCCACAAUGGGCAGAGCUGAGCCGAUCCGAAGUCAGGAGCCAGAAGCUUCUUCUGGGUCUCUCAUAUAGGCGCAGCAUCCUAAGGACUUGGGCCUCUUCUACUGCUUUCCCAGGCACAUUUUCAGGGAGCUGGAUCGGAAGUGGAGCAUCUGGGACAUAAACCAGAGCACACAUGGGAUGAUGGCACUGCAGGCUGAUGGUUUAACCUGCUAUGCCACAGUGCUGGCCCCGCUCAGCUGCUUCUUAAAGAGGCAAAGAAUCUAACAAUGUGAUUAAUUCCCCCUGAAAUUUAUUUUUAUAUAAUUUUUAAAAUUUUAUUUUUGUUUUCAUUUGAAAGGCAGAGAAACAGACGGACAGGCAGAUGUCCAUCUUGCAUCAUUUGGUUCACUCUCGAGAAGCCCACAAUAGCAGCAGCUGGGCUAAGUUGAAGCCAGGAAUCUAGAACUCACUUGGUGUCUCCCAUGUGGGCACGCGGGCAGCAGGCACCCAAUUACUUAGAUCAUCACCACUGCCUCUCACCAUGUGCACUGGCUGGAAUUGGAAUCUGAGCAGAGACUUGAACCCAGGCACUCUGAUAUAGCAUGGGGACAUCUAAAGCGACAUCUUAACCACUGUGCAAAUGUCCACCCCUGGAGUUCUUUCUACUGGUCCAGGACUUGAAGAGCAACUUUUUAGAUGUACUCCUGGGGAAGAGGAGCUUCUGACAUGUUCCCGUCUCUGGUGCUAUGGAAGGGCCUCAAGAAGUCAAACCAAAUUUUGCUAACAUUGAAUGCCUAGUGAGGUUAAAAUUAAUCAGGGCCAUUGAGUUUACUCAGAAAUAGGUUCUAUGAAUAUGACUCAGAAGAGAAUAUUACUUAGUGGGGCACAGACUCUGAAAAACAGGCAUAACCUUAUGUCCUGAGAAUACAUGUGCCACAUUCCCUUGCCUAUAGAGAAAGCCUAACUCGACCUGUCAGCUGCCCUGACCAAGCUCUGUGGCACCUCCACAUAGGCUCCAGGUUGAAGAUGCAAUGACUGGUAAGGUUGGUGUGGCAGAUAGAAAGCAGGAGGCCUGGACACAGCAUCAUCAGCAGGGCUAUGGCAGGGCACUUUAGUGUAUCCAGAUAGCAAUCAAUUGGAAGCACAGUAGAACAUGGCCAAGGUGUACAGCUAAAAUGAGGGCCAUAGGAGCUUAUCACCAACACAGAGCAAAGCAUCUUUCAGUGGCAAAGGAGAUAAGAGGGAGUUUUGAACUACAGGUGACUUUGCCAGGUCUCUAUCAACCCAGACCCAUCCAUCAUCUAUUGGUUCUCCAACAGUCUCGAUAUUCAAUGAAAGACAAACACUGCUGGCCUGGCCAUUGCAGGCCUUGUAAAUGGUGUGGCUGAAGAGGAGGCCCACAUUAAAUGCCUACACUAAGAUCUUUGAGCAGAUUCAUGAAUUCCAAUUCUGUGCGUGUUUUUGUUGUGAAUGACAAAUGUUGAUGAGCUUAAAAUUUUUUUUGUGACUAGAAGGAAAUAUUGCCUGAGUCCUAGGUCAGUCUUGCUAAAUACGCAAGAAAUAUGUGCUUCUAACAUACUGUGUGGUCUGCUGAAGCACUUUUGAUUGUCGAGUGGGAGGGAGAACCCUACUGACUGCCAGGGCAGGAAACAGCCAAUCUUCACUGGAAAUUACCUGGGACUUAACAAAAUCAAGAAUUUAGGUUACAGGCCGGCACCGCAGCUCACCAGGCUAAUCCUCCGCCUUGCGGUGCCGGCACACCAGGUUCUAGUCCCGGUCGGGGCACCGGAUUCUGUCCCGGUUGCCCCUCUUCCAGGCCAGCUCUCUGCUGUGGCCAGGGAGUGCAGUGGAGGAUGGCCCAAGUGCUUGGGCCCUGCACCCCAUGGGAGACCAGGAUAAGUACCUGGCUCCUGCCAUCGGAUCAGCGUGGUGCGCCGGCCGCAGCACGCCGGCCACAGCACACCGGCUGUGGCGGCCAUUGUUGGGUGAACCAACGGCGAAGGAAGACCUUUCUCUCUGUCUCUCUCUCUCACUGUCCACUCUGCCUGUCAAAAAAUAAAAAAAAAAUAAAUAAAUAAAAGAAUUUAGGUUACAGUCCACGAAGAGGCUGAGGACUACUCUGUCUCAUGCCAUACAUUGUCCUUCUUCUCUCAUCCUUUCUCUGCCUCUGUUUUUCUCUACCCCUAUCCACAACUUUCUUGCCUGGCAGGUAAUGGUGCUGCUACUUCCUAGUGUAAAGAGUUGCAUCUUACUUCUCUAGGUCAAAAUCUUGAGCUGUAGAAUCUGAUUGGGUCAGCCAGCCUAUGACCUUUGAACCGUAUGCCCAUCUCUGUACAAGUCAUCUGUAGCCAGGGUGUGGGAUGGGAGGCAGACACAAGCAGGACCAUGCCUCAAACCAAGUCUGAUACACGUUGGGCUUUUCACAGCCCAUGUACGCUCAGAGUAACUUUUCAUGAUAGCACAAGAACUAGUCUAGAUCCACACAUAAUUAAAGCCAAUCAUCAUCCAAUCAGCAUCUAUACUGGUAGAAAUGUUAAUCAGUUCAUUUGAGAAGAACAAAGACAAGUACCUUGUGACAUGGAAGUCUUAGGGUAGCAGUCAUAGAAGGUUGUCCUUAUGAAGUAGUAGCCUCAAUGGUUGCAGUAGAAGAUGGAAAGAAAGGAAGUUACAGUUGCCCAGAAUAAUCCCCUUUGUGGCAGUUUUGUUGGUGGUGGUCUGCUUAAAUAGCUGAAAAGAUACUCAUGUGCUAUUUUUAAAAUGCAGACAAGGGGCCAGCAUUGUGGAAUAGCAGGUUAAACCUCCACUUGCUACGUUGGCAUCCUGUAAAGGUGCUGGUUCAUGUCGUGGCUUCUCCACUUCCAGGCCAGCUCCCUGCUAAUGUGCCCGGGAAAGCAAUGGAGGAUGACCCAUGUGCUUGGGCCCCUGCAUCCAUGUUUGGGACUUGGAAGAAGCUCCUGGCACCUGCCUUCAGCCAGGCAUUGCCCUGGCCAUUGCAGCCAUUUGGGGGAAUAAACCAAUAGAUGUAAGAUCUCUGUCUCAGUAUCUCCCUCUCUCUCCCUCUCUCUGUUUUUCAAAUAAAUCUUUAAAAAAAUUUUUAAAAUGCAGACAAAAGCUCUAGAAGCUUUACUACAGUGUUUUGAUGGAAAAUGGAUUACAUGUCUCCUUUGUCCUUAAAACCUUAUCUAAACACAUUUUCAGCCACACUUUUAGCCUGCAGCUGGUUAACUCUGUUUGCAAGGCUUUCUGGCUCCAGUACUUGAACUUCAUGUUGCAAACAUCCGUCAUUGUCAGCUUCCUCCAGGUUCCAUGACGACUUCCUUAAUUUGUUGUUCUCUUUGUGCCAUAGCAGUGGGAAAUUGGCUCUUCCACGCUUGAACAUGAACACGUAGGUCAAAUCUGAUGACUUGAAACUUCACGCAUGGAAUUCCCAACAACGCUGCCAUGGGCUAGUUUUAUGUUUCCUGUAAUGAGAUUGUUUCCUCUUUGUCAAUUAUGGCUUCUACAGGAUGUUAUAUUUGUUGAGGUACAUGCUGGGGCCAAGAAACAAAGCAGAGUGCCCAGGCCCUCAGAAAGGUGAACCUGAUGGCUUUUCUAGUUGGCUAGAAUUUAUUUUGUGAUUUUCUGGACAUUGAAAUAAAUAACAGCAGAGGAAAAUCGUUGAAGGACUGUAUAGCAGAUAUCAGAAAAGAUAGUUUUAGGGUGGAUGUUUGGUGCAGCAGUUAAGCUUCUAUUUGAGAUACCCACAUCUCUCACCAGAGAGUACCUGGGUUUAUCUCUGUUUUCCAUUCCGGUUUUCUGCUAAUGUGCACUCUGAGAGUCAACAAGUGAUAUCUCAAGUACUUGGGUCCUUGCUACCCACAUGGGAUACUUGGAUUGAGUUCUAGGCACCUGGCUUCAGCCUGUCUCAGGGCAUAUUCAUUCAUCCAGUCAUUCAUUCUCUGUCUUCCAAAUAAAUAAACAAUAAUUUUUUUGACAGGCAGAGUUAGACAGUGAGAGAGACAGAGAGACAGAGAGAAAGGUCUUCCUUCCAUUGGUUCACCCUCCAAAUGGCCGCUAUGGCUGGUGCGCUGCGCCGAUCUGAAGCCAGGAGCCAGGUGCUUCCUCCUGGUAUCCCAUUCAGGUGCAGGGCCCAAGCACUUGGGUCAUCCUCCACUGCCUUCCUGGGCCACAGCAGAGAGCUGGACUGGAAGAGGAGCAACCAGGACAGAAUCUGGUGCCACGACUGGGACUAGAACCCGGAAUGCCGGCGCCGCAGGUAGAGGAUUAGCCAAGUGAGCAGUGGCGCUGGCCAAAAAAUAAUUUUUAAAAUAUACAUAAGAAAGAUGGUGUAUGAUUUUAAAGGGAUAAUCCCAAUAAAUCUGUUUCUGAAUCAGUCUGUGUUAGAGACAUUAAACUUACCUACAUUUUAAAGCUUAACAGUGCAGUUAAGAUAAGCCAAGUGCCUGGCAGAGAUCUGCUUUUAGUUUGCUUUGUUUUCAAAAUAAAUGCAGAGAAAAGGAAAUAUUUCCUACAAGCAAGUGAUGAGUAAUAUCUCAUGCAGUGGGUAAAUGUAACAAACUAACCUAGAGCUUCAUUCUAAUAGCCUCAGUUGCUAAGUUGAACAUCUAAGUGGAAAGGUGAAAGGACAUUCACAAACAGAUACUGUUGAUGUUGUGCCUAAGGUUAUUCUAGCAAAUACAGUGAAAUAAUUUGAAGUGGUUCCAAAGCCAUUUUCUUUAUUUUAAGUCUGUUAUUAUGUUAACAGGAGUUGGCGAUAAGAACAUUUUAACCAAAUAUAGUGUCAAAUGGAUGAAAAGAAAAUAUAAAUUGGAAAGGAACCUUUCCAUAUAAUGUUACUUAAAGAGGUUUUUAGAUAUAAUUCAAGAUGCAUAAUAAUGAGGAAAAACCUCUUAAAAAUUCCAACAAUAUAGGGCUAAUGCUUAGUUCAGCAGUUAGGAUCCUGGUGAAGAAUCCCAUGUCCUGCAUUACAGUGUCUGGAUUUGAUGCCCAGCUUUGGCUCCUGACUCCUACUUCCUGCUGGUAUACUGGGAGGUAGUGAUGAUAGCUCAAGUACUUGCCACCUAGAUGGGAUACCUGCAUUGCAAUCCUGGGUCUGGGCUUUGGUCCCAAUCCAACCCUGGCUGCAUUUGAGGAGUAAAUCCGUGGAUGGGAGAUGUCUCUCUUUCUGUCUCUCAUCUCUCUGUCUCCCCUGUUCCUCUCCCUUCCCCUCUCAGAUAAAACUUAAAGGAUUUUUUAAAAAUUGUAAAAAUGAUUUAAUGUUCCUCUGUAUAGACCAAGGUCCUUAUUGGAUGUGUACUUAGAUUAUUGCAGUAUUUAUUACCCUUGUAUCAUGACAAGAACCAGGAAGUUCAUUAUCAUCUAUGUGGCAGGUUGGAAGACUGUCAAAUCCCUGUAUAUAGAGAGAAUCAAGUAUCAUAUUGAAUUAUCAUCUUUGUGAUUAAUGAUUAACGCUAUCUGAUAACUACUUUUCUUUACAAGGACAUUCUAUGUCUAGGCAUUUAACCAUGGUUUUGGUUCUUCUAUGCAAUGGCAGUCAACCUACCCUUGACUUACAGUAACUGGUCUGAAACUUUAGUGGAGAGAAGAUUUGAUGACUCUCUUGACAAAGUCAAGCCAGGGAACUUCCAUAUUUUUCUUUCAAUAGGACAAACUUCUAAAGUGACUUUUCAAGAGACCCAGAAAGUUCCCACCUUAGAAGUAGUGACUAAAACUAGAGGCUACUUCCCACCUACCCUUAAAAAGUUUAUAAAGUAGUUAUGAAAGGAUCAAACCAAUUUGAGUUUUCAGUAACUUAACUGCUUCCCAGAACAAGCCAGUCUCUAAAGGAAGAUAGCAAAGGUCAGAUGGCUGAAAGAAAAGGAAACUGAAAUACUAAAGCUGCAAUAUUUGGCAUCCCAUAAAAAUUUACUAUGUAAGGCAAGAAGCAGGAAAAUGUUUCCCAUAACCGGGAGGGGAAAAAAUAUCAGGCAGAAGAAAAAGAUCUACCAGUGGAAUUAGUAUACCAAGACUUUGAAAUAACAGUUACAAUGUGCUCAAUAUGUGUAAGGGUCUUCAAAAUAAUUUAAAUUAAUCAGGAGAGACAUUGAAUGUAGGAACCAAAUAGAACUAGAGAAUGAAAAAUAUGAUAUAUGAAAUGAAAAGUACAUGGAGUAAGAUUAGUUGCAUCAUAGACAUUGUAAAAGAAAAGAGUGAACUGGAUAUUGUAGCAAUAGAAAAUAUUCAAACUGAAAUAAAGAAAAAAAGGAUGAAGAAAGCAAAUGGGGCCUCAGUGACUAGGGGAUGAUAUCAUGUGGUUUAUUGAUGACCAAGAAAAAUAUACUUGGAGUAAGGGGUACAGGAGAAAGAAGAGAACAUUCCAAGAAAUAAAAACUGAAAAAAAUCAAAUUUGAUUAAAAAUUUUUGAACCCAUAAGUCCAACAACCUUAGGGAACUCAAAGUGGAACACAGAAAAAGGCACAUUGUAACCAAAUUGAAAAACAAUGACAAAGAGAAAAUAGUAUUUUUAAAUUUUACUUGUUUUCAUUUUAUUUAAAAGAAAGAAAAAAAAAUUUAGCAUAUUUCCACCUGCUGGUUCACUCUCCAAAUACAUGCAGCAGCUGGGGCUGAGCCAAGGCAAAGCCAAAAGACUGUAGCUCAAUCCUAGCCUCCUAGGAUUGCAGGGACCUAAGUACUUGAGCUGCCUUUCAGGGUUCACAUUAGCAAAAAAAGUGGAAUUAGAAGUGUAUAUGGGGGGCUGGCGCUGUGGCAAAGCCAGUAAAGCUGCCGCCUGCAGUGCUGGCAUCCCAUAUGGGUGCCAGUUCGAGUCCCCACUGCUCCAAUUCCAAUCCAGCUCUCUGCUAUGGCCUGGGAAAGCAGUAGAAGAUGGUCCAAGUGCUUGGGCCCCUGCACCUGCAUGGGAGACCCAGAAGAAGCUCCUGGCUCCUGGCUUUGGAUUGGCACAGCUCUGACCGUUGCGGCCAGUUGGGGAGUGAAUCAUUGGAUGGAAGACCUCUCUCUUUCUCUCUCUCUGCCUCUUCUCUCUCUGUGUAACUCUGCCUUUCAGAUAAAUAAAUACAUCUUAAAAAAGAAGUAUAUCUGGGCCUCAAACUUGGGCACUCAGGGAAUGCCAAGAGAUGCCUUCAUUGCUGCACCAAAUGCCCCCACCCCGAGAAAAUCUUAAUAUCAGCCAAAGAAAAAGGGGUGUAGCAUACUGAAAAACAAAGAUAAGAAUGAGAACGGAUUUCUUUCUAGAAAUAAUGCAUAUUAGAAAUGAUAGUAUGGGGCUGGCGCUGUGGCGCAGCAGGUUAACACCCUGGCCUGAAGCGCCGGCAUCCCAUAUGGGUGCCGGUUCUAGUCCUGGCUACUCUACUUCCCAUCCAGCACUCUGCUAUGGCCUGGGAAAGCAAUAUGAGGAUGGCCCAAGUCCAUGGGCCCCUGCACCCAUGUGGGAGACAUGGAAGAAGCUCCUGGCUCCUGGCUUUGGAUCGGCACAGUUCCGGCCGUUGUAGCCAAUUGGGGAGUGAACCAUUGGAUGGACGACCUCUCUCUCUCUCCCUGCCUCUCCUCUCUCUGUGUAACUCUGACUUUGAAGUAAAAUAAAUAAAUAUAUAUAUAAAAAAAGAAACGAUAGUAUGGAACUUCUACAUUGCUGAAAAUAAAAAGAAUACUGCCAACAUAGAAUUCUGAAGCUAGCAAAAAAUGAUCCUUUAAAAAUUUCACGUUAGGACAAAAUAAAGGCUUUUUAAAGACAAAAGCCAAGAGUUUUUGUCACCAACAGAUCUGUACUAUACACAAUGGUAAAGGAAGUUCUUUAGACAGAAGAAAAAUAAAACCAGAUGGAAACUUUGGAUCUAUACCAAGGAAUGAAGAGCAUAAGAAAUGAUAAAUCUAUAGGUGUCUGUGAAAGUAAUUUCAUUUUAAAACUUCUCUGAAAAAUGACUAAAUAAAGCAAAAACAAUAAAUGUAUGGUGGGGCUCAUUACCUAGAAAUAAAAAAUGUGGGUCCAGUAUUGUGGCACAGCAGAUAAAGCUGCUGCCUGUAAUUCCAGCAUCCCAUAUGGGCACCAGUUUGUGUUGCAGCUGCUCCACUUCCAAUCCAGCUCCCUGCUAAUGUCCUGGGCAAAGCAGCAGAAGAUGGCCCAAGUGUUUGGGCCCAUGCUGCCUAUGUGGGAGACCCAGAUGAAGCUCCUCGUUUCUGGCUUUGGCCUGGCCAUUGUGGCCAUCUGGGGAGUGAACCAGCAAAUUGAAGGUAUUCUCUCUCUCUCUCUCGUUCAAAUAAAUUUUUUAAAAAUUUUAGAAAAGAUGUAACAAUAGCAUAAAGGAUAGGAGGGAAAAAUGGAAGUAUACUGGUAUAAAAUAAUGUUCAAAUACUAUUGUAUAGAAUAGACUUGAUACGUUAAGGGUGUAUAUUACAACCCAAGCACAACCACUAAAAAGUAAAAUGUAGAUGUAUAUCUAACAGACCAAUAUCAGGAAAUAAGGCAAAAUGAACAGUGAACAAAUAAAUGGUAGAUUUAAUCCCAACCAUGUCGUUAAAUGUCAGCGAUAGAAAUCCUCCAGUUAAAAAGAAUGAAUUGUAUUGUGAAGUAGAAAAAGCAGUAUGCAGAGUUGUGUAUGGAAUUUGAUUCACUUUUGAUACAAUAUUUAGGAAGCAGAAACUAAAACCUCACCACACUUAUAUAUCUAUCUGUAUAAAUGUAUAUGUGUAUGUAUAAGUGUACACAUACCCAUAUCAGAACAUAGAUUAGGACUAGGAAUUGACAUGGACAAACAAAAAGAUUGAUCACCUUAGGGAAAGAUUGUUGUUAAUUUAUUCUUAGAUUCUGGAACCUCAACUUACUUUCUAUAACAAACUACCAGCAUUUAAAGAAAUGGAGAUCUGAAGAUACAGAAAGUUAUGUCCUAAAUCCCUUUGUCUAGUGUUUUAUUAUAUUUUCUGAACCUCUAGUUUUGUGGGGGUAAAGCAAAUACUCUGUGAUAAUUCUCCAGUGUUCCAGACCUGUUUAAAAUACAUUAGCAUUUUAGCUGGUACUGGCACAUGGCACCAGCUAUUGUUGUAAAGGGUCAUUAAGCAUGACAAGAAGCUCCACCCAAAAGUGAGAAGUGAGUUGGUCAGGGUUCUUUGCUUGCAAGCAACAGGAACUGAUUUUGACUGAAAGGAAAGGAAAUUAUUGGGAAAACCAGAAAUGUAUGUAGUCUUGGAAUCCAGACUGCUUCAGAGGAGAGGAAGCAGGAAGCCCAAGAAUGGCCGAAUGCAAUAGUAGUUUGAUUUUGUUGCUCCUAGCAGCAUUAAUGAAUUGCAGUCUUACUUCCAAACUUAAACCACUGGCUCAAAUGUCAAAGUUUUGGAAUAGAGCACUAGACUCAUGAUAUGUCCAUUCUCUGUAUACCCAAGGGCCUACUGAGAGAUGCUCAGGAAACCUUAGAAUCCUGGUAGCAAGAGAGCUACUGCCUGUCAAUACAGUCCCACCAAGGUUAUAGGAGCACAGAGGAGGAAAGGCUAUUUCCCAAAGAGAAAUAAGGAUUCCUUGGAAUGUUGGUGGACACUGGUGCCCAAAACACAUCUUUUUUGGUACUGAAAAGCAGAAGGAAUUAGAGAAAUGUGCAGAGUUGAGUGUUACGCCUAGAAAUACAGGGUCUGCAUGCAGCACCUGAUCCACCUGUAUCCCUGAGUCUUGGGUGCAAACUGAGAAGAGCAAGGCUUGCAAAUGCUUUUUUUUUUUUUUUUUGACAGGCAGAAUGGACAGUGAGAGAGAGAGACAGAGAGAAAGGUCUUCCUUUUACCGUUGGUUCACCUCCAAUGGGCGCCGCGGCCGGCACACCGCGCUGAUCUGAAGCCAGGAGCCAGGUGCUUCUCCUGGUCUCCCAUGGGGUGCAGGGCCCAAGCACCUGGGCCAUCCUCCACUGCACUCCCGGGCCACAGCAGAGGGCUGGCCUGGAAGAGGGGCAACCGGGACAUAAUCCAGCGACCUGGCUGGGACUAGAACCCAGUGUGCCGGCGCCGCUAGGUGAAGGAUUAGCCUAUUGAGCCGCAGUGCCGGCUGCAAAUGCUUUUAUACUAUGAAUGUGUGGGAGUUGAAUUUAUGGUCCCAAAUCCAUAUUAUAAUAGACAUUAUGAUUUGCCUUUAAAAGCUUGAAGGAAAUUGACAUAGUAGUGUUUGUGAUAAUGGCUUAUUUACAAGUAAUAGAUGAAUUUUGUAAACAAAUUUCAAUUUCAUUUUCAGUCUCUCUUUUUGAGUGUUCUCAUGAUGCAUGCUUACUGUUUUCUGAUAGGACCCUAAUACUAACCAGAAAUAAAUAAGUAAAUAAAAUUGGGAAAGAAGUUGUUGAAAAUGCAAUAUAUGUUGAGGUGAGAUGAACUGGAGAAAGAUAAGCCAGAUUGCCAACCUCGGGAAAUCAUUAGAGAAGCAGAUUGUUGAGAUUCUGAGCACUUCCAAAGAAUGGCUUCCUUUCAGACAGGCUUAGAAUUCCAAAAAGUAGUAAUCACUGAAGGGACAGAUAAGGAAGAAACUAGAGAAUUGUUAUGGGGUAGAGAUGGAAAGCCUUGGGUUUUUGAAACACUUGGACUCAAGAUCCUGCUCCUAACUUCUCAGAAUGUCAGGGGCUCCUCUGUGUGCCUCCCCACAGGACAAAAGUGCUAUAUGCUACUGUUGAUCCUUUUAUGGUAAUGUACCCUGGGAUGCUCAUGGAAAUUCUGAGUGCUUACCCAACAUUAGUAAGCCAGAGCAAAGGAAGUAAUUGACAUUAAGAGGUCCUUUUAAAUUUCAUCAAAUAUUUUAUGCUUUGUUUUUCCUGUGAAGACAACAUCUGGUUUUAUGUAAAUCGCCAGAGGUAAGCACUCAUCUGAAGCAAGCUCAAGAAUGUAAGCAUGAAGGAUUUUAAUUGAAUUAAUGUUAAGCCUGAGUAUAUCCAGGACACAUGCCUUCAAUUUUUUUUAAAAAGAUUUAUUUAUUUAUUUGAAAGAGUUACACUGAGAGAGGCAGAGGCAGAGAGAGAGAGGUCUUCCAUCCGAUGGUUCACUCUCCAAUUGGCCGCAAUGGCCAGAGCUGCGCCGAUAUGAAACCAGGAGCCAGCAGCUUCCUCCCCGUCUCCCAUGUGGGUGCAGGGGUCCAAGGACUUGGGCCAUCUUCUAUUGCUUUCCCAAGCCAUAGCAGGGAGCUAGAUCAGAAGAGGAGCAGCCAGGUCUCUAAUUGGUGCCCAUAUGAGAUGCCGGUGCUUCAGGCCAGGGUGUUAACCCACUGCACCACAGCGCUGGCUCCUUGCCUUCAUUUUUUAAUGUCAGAAUAUUCUGUGCUCCCAGAAUAAAAUAAAUUUCCCAGUAAUGCAGUGUGAUGACUUGAUCAAGAAUUCAGUAAUAAAGACAACUUUCAUGAAUACAAGUGAUGAGUUAUUUCACAGAUAUCAUCUUAGUUUGUCAUGUUUGUGUAAUUACAGGUUACGGAUAAGGAAAUGAAACUGAACGGCAAGUGAUUUUUCUGUGUCUGGCACAUAAUAAUAUAUUUUGUUGAAUGGACUAAUGAGGUGAUGUAUUAUAAAAUGUACAAAUAAGGUAAUCAUGGCUCCGCUAACAUAUACAGUACUGAAAAGAAAAAAAAAAUGUUGUAACAGAAAUGUCACUUUUAGGUAACUUUUGCAGAUCUAGGGGGCCUUUUACAUGCUACCUUUGAAAGGAUUGCAGUCCCCAGGAACCUGUCCAUGGUGCUGAAUCUGGUUUGACACAAUUAAGUCAGAACGGCUGUCACAAAUUGCUCUACACAUCUUCUGCGCUUCUAUUGCCAGUGACAGUGCUAAUAAUACAAAAUUAUUUCAUCAAAUAUUGUUAACUUUUUAAGAAUUUGAAGGAGUUUGUUUUUAAAAAAUAGAAGCUUUAGUUAUGAGGAUAUCUCAAAAUUCACAGAAAAUGAAAUUGACAAGUGAGUUUAUUGCGAUGUGAAAAAUUAAAACAUGUAGUUUUUUAAGGUGAUAUUCAUUUUCAUGAAAUUUUUGAUCCAGCAUAAUACAAACAUUAAAUUCUCCUUUUAAAGACAUACAACUCAGUUAGGCAGAGCCAAGAUGGCGGAAUAGUGAGGGUGUGCACCGAUAGUCCAGGAAAAUUUAGUUUAAUAAAAGUGGAGUUACAGUAGCCUCAGAAAAAGGAUCAGGAGAAAAUUGCAGAGGAAACUCUUCCGGAUCUAGUGGCUGUGACUCGGAGGACCUACUGGGAGAGCAAGGUCGCCCACUGCACGGAAGCCGAGCCGUGGGAGCCAUAGGGUCUGCGCGCCAGUGCGGGAAGGGAAGUGGAUGUGUGGCUCCGAGUCCACACAUCGGCGCUGAAAGGGGAGGUGAGCUCAGUAACCGGAGACAUUGGCGGGGAAACGACGGACAGAAUCUAGAGGGAAGCAGUCUUUGAGGUGGGAAAGUUCACCAGACUGACUACAGGAGAGAAGGAAAAAAAAAAGAAAAAAAAAGGGUGGGGGGGGUACUGGUACAAACAAGUUUCUCUCUCUCCGCCAACCUUGCAAAGGCGAGUAAGAGACAAAGAGCAGGACCCACUCUAGAUAUACAUAACAAAAGGGGAGAGCUAAGGCUACAAUUCAGUAGCCUAGGCAACCCAGUGGGAGACCACAGCAGAAACUGAACCGGCACAGACUCUUUGGGUAGAAACCAGAGAUCGGAAGCUAAAUACCAUCAAUCCUGCUCAGCUGUGCGGUAUUACUUACCUCCUGAAUAAAAAAUAAAUAAAUAAAUAAAUAGAUUUACCACGUAUAACCUGAGGGUGUCACCUCUGCACACCCGUAACCCAGAAGAACCAAGCAGAGCUCUCAGGCCACACCCAUCUCAAGCCUCCAAGGCUCCUCCAACAGCAGACAGUCCACUUAACACAGACAUAGCAUAAAAAAAAAAACUCACAGUGAGGGAAGAAGAAUUAACAAUGCCAACGAACAAACACAAAAAUUGAGGGAACAAGAUCAACGAUGACACUAUGACACCUCCAAAUAAACAUAACACCCCAAGCCAAGAUUAUGAAGAUGAUAAGAUAGAAGAAAUGCAAGAUACAGAUUUCAAAAAAUUUAUGAUAAGAACAUUUAGAAGUUUUCAAAAGCAAAUCCUUGAACUACAGAAAUCCUUAAUGGACAGGAUAGAAAAUCUCUCUCAUGAAAAUGAAAUUUUAAGGAAGAAUCAAAAUGAAACUCAGAAACUAGUAGAACAGGAAAGUGUGAUAGUGAAGAGAAAUCAAAAUGAAAUGAAGAGCUCAAUAGAUCAAAUGACAAACACAUUAGAGAGCCUUAAAAACAGAAUGGGUGAAGCGGAACAGAGAAUAUCGGACUUAGAAGACAGAGAACAGGAAAGGAUACAGUCAAACCAAAGAAAAGAAGAGGAAGUUAGAAAUCUAAAAAAUAUUGUUGGGAAUCUACAGAAUACUAUUAAAAAAACCAACAUUCGAGUUCUAGGAGUUCCUGAAGGCAUGGAACGAGAGAAAGGAUUAGAAGGCCUUUUUAGUGAGAUACUAGCAGAAAACAUUCCGGGUUUGGAGGACAGAGACAUCCUAGUACAGGAAGCUCAUAGAACACACAGUAAACAUGACCAAAAGAGAUCCUCACCAUGACACGUUGUAAUUAAACUCACCACAGUGAAACAAAGAAAAGAUCCUAAAAUGUGCAAGAGAGAAACGUCAGAUUACUCUCAGAGGAUCUCCAAUUAGACUCACAGCUGACUUCUCAUCAGAAACCCUACAGGCUAGGAGGGAAUGGCGAGAUAUAGCACAGGUGCUAAGAGAGAAAAAUUGCCAGCCCAGAAUAUUAUAUCCUGCUAAGCUCUCAUUUGUGAAUGAAGGUGAAAUAAAGACCUUUCAUAGCAAACAGAAAUUGAAAGACUUUGCCGCCACUUGUCCAGCCCUGCAAAAGAUACUUAAAGAUGUGCUACACCCAGAAACACAGAAACACGGCCAUCAAUAUGAAAGAAGGUAAAGGAAGAACACCUACCAGUAAAAGAUCAUAGGAAGCUCAAAGCAUAUACUAGAAAAUAUCUUCGGGAAAAUGGCAGGGCAAAGUCACUAUGUAUCAAUAGUCACAUUAAACGUGAAUGGACUUAACUCUUCAGUUAAAAGACACCGAUUGGCUGAUUGGCUUAAGGAACACAACCCAACUAUUUGUUGCCUACAAGAAACACAUCUCUCUAACAAAGAUGCAGGCAGACUGAAAGUAAAAGGUUGGAAAAAGAUAUUCCAUGCCAACAGAAACCAAAAAAAAAAGCAGGUAUAGCCAUAUUAGUAUCAGACAAAAUAAACUUUAAUACAAAAACUGUUAAGAGAGACAAAGAGGGGCACUAUCUAAUGAUUAAGGGUUCAAUUCAACAGGAAGAUGUAACUAUUAUAAAUGUAUAUGCACCUAAUUACAGGGCACCAGUCUAUUUAAAAGAUGUUAAGGGACUUAAAGGGAGACUUAGAUUCCAAUACGAUAGUACUGGGGAACUUCAAAACUCCACUCUCAGAAAUAGAAGAUCAUCCGGACAGAAAAUCAACAAGGAAACAGCAGAUUUAAUCGACACUAUUGCCCAAAUGGAUCUAACAGAUAUCUACAGAACUUUCAAUCCUACAUCUAAAGACUUUACAUUCUUCUCAGCAGUGCAUGGAACCUUCUCUAGGAUUGAUCACAUACUAGGCCAUAAAGCAAGUCUCAGCAAAUUGAAAAGAAUUAGAAUCAUACCAUGCAGCUUCUCAGAUCAUAGCGGAAUGAAGAUGGAAAUUAGCAACUCAGGAAACCCUAGAAAGUAUGCAAACACAUGGUGACUGAACAACAUGCUCCUGAAUGAACACUGGGUCAUUCAAGAAAUCAAAAGAGAAAUCAGAAACUUUAUGGAAGUAAAUGAGGAUAACAACACAACAUAUCAAAACUAUGGGAUAUGGCAAAAGCAGUAUUGAGAGGCAAGUUUAUAGCAAUAGGUGCCUAUAUCAAGAAAUUGGAAAGGUACCAAAUAAAUGAGUUCUCAGCGCAUCUCAAGGACCUAGAAAAACUGCAGCAAACCAGACCCAAAUCUAGUAGGAGAAGAGAAAUAAUUAAAAUCAGAGAAGAAAUUAACAGGAUUGAAUCCAAAAAAAAAAAAAUUACAAAAAACCAGCCAAGGGAAGAGCUGGUUUUUUGAAAAAAUAAAAAAAUUGACACCCCAUUGGCCCAACUAACUAAAAAAAGAAGAGAAAAGACCCAAAUCAAUAAAAUCAGAGAUGAAAAAGGAAACUUAACAACAGACACCACAGAAAUAAAAAGAAUCAUCAGAAAUUACUACAAGGACCUGUAUGCCAGCAAACAGGAAAAUCUAUCAGAAAUGGAUAGAUUCCUGGACACAUGCAAUCUACCUAAAUUGAACCAUGAAGACAUAGAAAACCUAAAUAGACCCAUAACUGAGACAGAAAUUGAAACAGUAAUAAAGGCCCUCCCAACAAAGAAAAGCCCAGGACCAGAUGGAUUCACUGCUGAAUUCUACCAGACAUCUAAAGAAGAACUAAUUCCAUUUCUUCUCAAACUAUUCAGAACAAUCGAAAAAGAUGGAAUCUUCCCAAAUUCUUUCUAUGAAGCCAGCAUCACCUUAAUCCCUAAGCAAGAGAAAGAUGCAGCACUGAAAGAAAAUUACAGACCAAUAUCCCUGAUGAACAUAGAUGCAAAAAUCCUCAAUAAAAUUCCCACCAAUAGAAUACAACAACACAUCAGAAAAAUCAUCCACCCAGACCAAGUGGGAUUUAUCCCUGGUAUGCAGGGAUGGUUCAGCAUUCGCAAAUCAAUCAAUGUGAUUCACUAUAUUAACAGACUGCAGAAGAAAAACCAUACGAUUAUCUCAAUAGAUGCGGAGAAUGCAUUCGAUAAAAUUCAACAUCCUUUCAUGAUGAAAACUCUAAGCAAAUUGGGUAUAUAAGGAACAUUCCUCAAUGUAAUCAAAGCAAUUUAUGAAAAACCCAAGGCCAGCAUCCUAUUGAAUGGGGAAAAGUUGGAAGCAUUUCCACUGAGAUCAGGCACCAGACAGGGAUGCCCACUCUCACCACUGCUAUUCAACAUAGUUCUGGAAGUUUUAUCCAGAGCCAUCAGACAAGAAAAAGAAAUUAAAGGAAUACAAAUUGAGAAGGAAGAAGUCAAACUAUCUCUCUUUGCAGACUAUAUGAUUCUUUACUUAGAGGAUCCAAAGAACUCUACUAAGAGACUAUUGGAACUCAUAGAAGAGUUUGGCAAAGUGGCAGGAUAUAAAAUCAAUGCACAAAAAUCAACAGCCUUUGUAUACACAAGCAAUGCCACGGCUGAGAAAGAACUGCUAAGAUGAAUCCCAUUCACAAUAGCUACAAAAACAAUCAAAUACCUUGGAAUAAACUUAACCAAGGACGUUAAAGAUCUCUACAAUGAGAAUUACAAAAUCUUGAAGAAAGAAAUAGAAGAGGAUACUAAAAAUAGAAAAAUCUUCCAUGCUCAUGGAUUGGAAGAAUCAACAUCAUCAAAAUGUCCAUUCUCCCAAAAGCAAUUUAUAGAUUCAAUGCAAUCCCAAUCAAGAUACCAAAGACAUUCUUCUCAGAUCUAGAAAAAAUGAUGCUGAAAUUCAUAUGGAGACACAGGAGACCUCGAAUAGCUAAACCAAUCUUGUACAACAAAAACAAAGCCGGAGGCAUCACAAUACCUGAUUUCAGGACAUACUACAGGGCAGUUGUAAUCAAAACAGCAUGGUACUGGUACAGAAACAGAUGGACAGACCAAUGGAAUAGAAUAGAAACAGCAGAAAUCAACCCAAACAUCUACAGCCAACUCAUAUUUGAUCAAGGAUCUAAAACGAAUUCCUGGAGCAAGGACAGUUUAUUCAAUAAAUGGUGCUGGGAAAACUGGAUUUCCAUGUGCAGAAGCAUGAAGCAAGACCCCUACCUUACACCUUACACAAAAAUCCACUCAACGUGGAUUAAAGACCUAAAUCUACGACCUGAUACCAUCAAGUUAUUAGAGAACAUUGGAGAAACCCUGCAAGAUAUUGGCACAGGCAAAGAGUUUCCGGAAAAGACCCGGGAGGCACAGGCAGUCAAAGCCAAAAUCAACUAUUGGGAUUGCAUCAAAUUGAGAAGUUUCUGUACUGCAAAAGAAACAGUCAGGAGAGUGAAGAGGCAACCGACAGAAUGGGAAAAAAUAUUUGCAAACUAUGCAACAGUUAAAGGGUUAAUAACCAGAAUCUACAAAGAGAUCAAGAAACUCCACAAAAACAAAACAAACAGCCCACUUAAGAGAUGGGCCAAGGACCUCAAUAGACAUUUUUCAAAAGAGGAAAGCCAAAUGGCCAACAGGCACAUGAAAAAAUGUUCAAGAUCACUAGCAAUCAGGGAAAUGCAAAUCAAAACCACAAUGAGGUUUCACCUCACCCCGGUUAGAAUGGCUCACAUGCAGAAAUCUACCAACAACAGAUGCUGGCGAGGAUGUGGGGAACAAGGGACACUAACCCACUGUUGGUGGGAAUGCAAACUGGUCAAGCCACUAUGGAAGUCAGUCUGGAGAUUCCUCAGAAACCUGAAGAUAACCCUACCGUUCGACCCAGCCAUCCCACUCCUUGGAAUUUACCCAAAGGAAUUUAAAUUGGCAAACAAAAAAGCGGUCUGCACCCUAAUAUUUAUUGCAGCACAAUUCACAGUAGCCAAGACCUGGAACCAACCUAAAUGCCCAUCAACAGUAGACUGGAUAAAGAAAUUAUGGGAUAUGUACUCUUUAGAAUACUAUACCGCAGUAAGAAACAAUGAAAUCCAGUCAUUUGCAACAAAAUGGAGGAAUCUAGAACACAUCAUGCUGAGUGAAAUAAGCCAGUGCCAAAGGGACAAAUAUCAUAUGUUCUCCCUGAUCGGUGACAACUGACUGAACACCAAAAAGGAAACCUGUUGAAGUGAAAUGGACACUACAAGAAAUGCUUACUUGAUCAGCAUAGCCCUGACUGUUAAUGAACAAUUUAAUACAUUAUCCCUCUUAGUAUUUUUUUGUCUGUUCUACUUAAUACUACUGGUUUAAUUCUGUAAUUAAUACACAGUUAUUCUUAAGUGUUAAAAUUUAACUGAAAUGUGAUCCCUGUUAAAUAUAAGAGUGGGAAUAAGAGAGGGAAGAGAUGUACAAUUUGGGACAUGCUCAAGCUGACUUGCCCCAAAUGGUAGAGUUAGAAACAUACCAGGGGAUUCCAAUUCAAUCCCAUCAAGGUGGCAUGUACCAAUGCCAUCUCACUAGUCCAAGUGAUCAAUUUCUGUUCACAAUUGAUCAUAAUGAAAGGACUAAGAGUCAAAGGGAUCACAUAAACAAGUCUAGUGCCUGCUAAUACUAACCGAUAGAAUAAAUAAAGGGUAGAGCGAUCCAACAUGGGAAACGAAAUACACAGCAGACUCAUAGAAUGGCAGAUGUCCUAAACAGUACUCUGGCCUCAGAAUCAGCCCUAAAGGCAUUCGGAUCUGGCUGAAAAGCCCAUGAGAGUAUUUCAGGCAUGGAAAGCCAAGACACUCUGGAAAAAAAAAAAAAAAACCCUAAAUGAAAGAUCUCUGUGAGUGAGAUCCCAGUGGAAAGAACAGGUCUUCAAAGAAGGCGGUACCUUUCUCUGAAGGGAGGAGAGAACUUCCACUUUGACUAUGAACUCGUCUAAAUAAGAUAAGAGUCGGAGAACUCAAAAGGCUUCCAUAGCCUUAGAAACUCAUGACUGGAGCAUAGGGAGAUUACUGAUGCCAUAAACAGGAGUGUCAAUUUGUAAAGUCAACAACAGGAGUCACUGUGCAUUUACUCCUCAUGUAGGAUCUCUGUCCUUAAUGUGCUGUACAUUGAGAUUUAAUGCUAUAACGAGUACUCAAACAGUAUUUUUCACUUUGUGU